rnacentral:lncRNA from 1 species
AUAUGUAUAAAUAAUAUUAAAGACAAUUAAUAAAGUGUAUUUUAGUAACUUACGACAACACUUCAUUUAAUAAUCGCACUAUAAAUUGAGCAUGUGAAUUGCAUUGUCUUAAAACUCUCACGCAAGCCUCCAUAAAUCGGCAUUUGAUGUGACCAUAUUAACGGCGAUUUUUCAAUGGGUGGUGACCAGUCAAAAAGUCUGAAACUACGCGUGUAGUCACGUGAAAUGUAAGUAGUUUUACCUCAUGUUAUAAUUAAGGUAUUUACCCGGGUCAAAAAGUUCUGCUAUUUACCUCCCGUCUUCAUUUUUAUCUUCCUCUCUUCUUCAAUUCUCCUCUUCGUUUCACCAACAGAGCACAAAUUGUAGCACAAAUUGCACCACAAAUUACAUACCAAUUCAGCACAAAUUGCAGAAGUUACUUGUACAACAAUUCAUCACAAAAUACAAAGCAAUUGAAAACAAAAUGCAGACAAAUUUGUACACAGUUUCUUCCGAACCAAAAUCUCAUUUUCAUCAUCAUUCAUCCUCAACACUAGGCAUUAAGCACCUCAAUCAAGUGCGGAAAGGAAAAAUGAAUAUCAAUUGUAAUUUAACACACUUAUUUUCUUAACAUUUUAUUUCUGAAAUCAAAUAUGAAAUCCGUAAACGCCGAAACUUAGUCUUAUGUCAGAAAAUUUUCACAGUUGUUGUUCAAGCUUUUGCUCGGGUGUGGUGAAUCCAUAAAUGCCGAAACUCUAUCUUGUUCAAGCUUUUGCUCAGGUGUGGUGAAUCCAUAAAUGUCGAAACUCUAUCUUGUUCAAGCUUUUGCUUUUGCCUUGUCUGAGCCAAAUCAUGUCACCUUCGAGGAAGAUAAGAGCUUAUGGUGAAUCGAAGAGGAAGAUGAAGAGAAAGAAAAGCAGCUGCGUUUUUCUAUUUCUCUACGUUUUUUCUAUUUUUAUUAGGCAGAAACGAUUACGUUUCAAGGAAGCAAAAAGAAAAAAAAAAAAAACCAAAACGGCGUCGUUUUGGUUUAAUUUGGGGUUUGACCCGAGGAAAGUAGCAUUUUUCUAUAAUUAAAAGGCUUCACUUACCUUACAUUAUUACAUAAGGUACAUAAUUCUAAGAUAAUUAUUUAAUAAAAAUU